rnacentral:rRNA from 1 species
CAGCAGCCGCGGUAAAACGGAGGGGGCUAGCGUUGUUCGGAAUUACUGGGCGUAAAGCGCACGUAGGCGGCUUUGUAAGUUAGAGGUGAAAGCCCGGAGCUCAACUCCGGAAUUGCCUUUAAGACUGCAGAGCUAGCAGGUGAGAGAGGUGAGUGGAAUUCCGAGUGUAGAGGUGAAAUUCGUAGAUAUUCGGAAGAACACCAGUGGCGAAGGCGGCUCACUGGCUCAUACUGGACGCUGAGGUGCGAAAGCGUGGGGAGCAAACAGGAUUAGAUACCCCCGUAGUCCCUGUCUCUUAUAC